rnacentral:rRNA from 1 species
AGAGUUUGAUCCUGGCUCAGGACGAACGCUGGCGGCGUGCCUAACACAUGCAAGUCGAACGGAGUUAGUAGCAAUACUAACUUAGUGGCGGACGGGUGAGUAACGCGUGGGCAACCUGCCUUACAGAGGGGGAUAACAGUGCGAAAGCACUGCUAAUACCGCAUGACAUUGCGUCUUCGCAUGAAGAAGCAAUCAAAGGAGUAAUCCGCUGUAAGAUGGGCCCGCGUCUGAUUAGCUAGUUGGUGAGGUAAAAGCUCACCAAGGCGACGAUCAGUAGCCGAUCUGAGAGGAUGAACGGCCACACUGGAACUGAGACACGGUCCAGACUCCUACGGGAGGCAGCAGUGGGGAAUAUUGCACAAUGGGGGAAACCCUGAUGCAGCAACGCCGCGUGGAGGACGAAGGCCUUCGGGUUGUAAACUCCUGUCUUUUGGGACGAAUAAUGACGGUACCAAAGGAGGAAGCCACGGCUAACUACGUGCCAGCAGCCGCGGUAAUACGUAGGUGGCAAGCGUUGUCCGGAAUUAUUGGGCGUAAAGGGCGCGUAGGCGGCGUCUUAAGUCAGAUGUGAAAACCCCGGGCUUAACUUGGGAACUGCAUCUGAUACUGGGAUGCUAGAGUGCAGGAGAGGUAAGUGGAAUUCCUAGUGUAGCGGUGAAAUGCGUAGAUAUUAGGAGGAACACCAGUGGCGAAGGCGACUUACUGGACUGUAACUGACGCUGAGGCGCGAAAGCGUGGGGAGCAAACAGGAUUAGAUACCCUGGUAGUCCACGCUGUAAACGAUGGAUACUAGGUGUGGG